GACGAACGCUGGCGGCGUGCCUAAUACAUGCAAGUUGAGCGCUGAAGGUUGGUACUUGUACCAACUGGAUGAGCAGCGAACGGGUGAGUAACGCGUGGGGAAUCUGCCUUUGAGCGGGGGACAACAUUUGGAAACGAAUGCUAAUACCGCAUAAAAACUUUAAACACAAGUUUUAAGUUUGAAAGAUGCAAUUGCAUCACUCAAAGAUGAUCCCGCGUUGUAUUAGCUAGUUGGUGAGGUAAAGGCUCGCCAAGGCGAUGAUACAUAGCCGACCUGAGAGGGUGAUCGGCCACAUUGGGACUGAGACACGGCCCAAACUCCUACGGGAGGCAGCAGUAGGGAAUCUUCGGCAAUGGACGAAAGUCUGACCGAGCAACGCCGCGUGAGUGAAGAAGGGUUUCGGAUCGUAAAACUCUGUUGGUAGAGAAGAACGUUGGUGAGAGUGGAAAGCUCAUCAAGUGACGGUAACUACCCAGAAAGGGACGGCUAACUACGUG
rnacentral:rRNA from 1 species